rnacentral:rRNA from 1 species
GGAAACGCCGACUAAUACCCCAUAGUAUCACUUUAAGGCAUCUUUUAGUGAUUAAAGAAAUUCGGAAACGGAUAGGCUCGCGUGACAUUAGCUAGAUGGCGGGGUAACGGCCCACCAUGGCGACGAUGUCUAGGGGUUCUGAGAGGAAGGUCCCCCACACUGGAACUGAGACACGGUCCAGACUCCUACGGGAGGCAGCAGUGAGGAAUAUUGGUCAAUGGUCGAGAGACUGAACCAGCCAUGCCGCGUGAAGGUCACGGCCCUAUGGGUCUUAAACUUCUUUUGUAAGGGAGCAAUAAGUCUCACGCGUGGGAUGAUGAGAGUACCUUACGAAUAAGCAUCGGCUAACUCCGUGCCAGCAGCCGCGGUAAUACGGGGGAUGCAAGCGUUAUCCGGAUUUAUUGGGUUUAAAGGGUGCGUAGGCGGUCUGUUAAGUCAGCGGUGAAAUUUAGGGGCUCAACCUCUACCGUGCCGUUGAUACUGGCAGUCUGGAAUGCGGAUGCCGUGGGAGGAAUGUGUGGUGUAGCGGUGAAAUGCAUAGAUAUCACACAGAACACCGAUUGCGAAGGCAUCUCACGAAUCCGCAAUUGACGCUGAGGCACGAAAGCGUGGGGAUCAAACAGGAUUAGAUACCCUGGUAGUCCACGCUGUAAACGAUGAUGACUAACCGUCGGCGAUACACAGUCGGUGGCCAAGCGAAAGCGAUAAGUCAUCCACCUGGGGAGUACGACCGCAAGGUUGAAACUCAAAGGAAUUGACGGGGGCCCGCACAAGCGGAGGAACAUGUGGUUUAAUUCGAUGAUACGCGAGGAACCUUACCCGGGCUCGAACGGCAGAUGAAUAUAUUAGAGAUAGUAUAGUCUUCGGACAUCUGUCGAGGUGCUGCAUGGUUGUCGUCAGCUCGUGCUGUGAAGUGUCGGCUUAAGUGCCAUAACGAGCGCAACCCUUGCCGUUAGUUGCCAUCAGGUAAAGCUGGGGACUCUAGCGGGACUGCCACCGCAAGGUGUGAGGAAGGGGGGGAUGACGUCAAAUCAGCACGGCCCUUACGUCCGGGGCGACACACGUGUUACAAUGGUGAGUACAGAGGGAAGCUACCUGGCGACAGGAUGCAGAUCUCGAAAGCUCAUCCCAGUUCGGA